ACGUCAUGGCGCCCGAGGAGAAUGCGGGGACCGAACUCUUGCUGCAGAGUUUCGAGCGCCGCUUCCUGGCGGCGCGCACGCUGCGCUCCUUCCCCUGGCAGGGGGGCGGCGGGCGAGCGGAGAGGCCCGCGGGGCUCGCGGGAGUCCAGGGGCAGACGGGAUGGGUCUCCGUGCUGAAACCCCCGGCGCUCCUGCCACAGCUUAGAAGCAAAGUUAAGAGACUCAUCAGAUUCUGAGCUGCUGCGGGAUAUUUUGCAGAAGACUGUGAAGCAUCCUGUGUGUGUGUGAAGCACCCGCCGUCAGUCAAGAAAGCCCGGUGCUUUCUCUCAGAACUCAUCAAAAAGCACGAGGCUGUCCACAUGGAGGCUUUGGACGAGCUGUAUGAGGCACUGGCAGAGACCCUGAUGGCCAAGGAGUCCACCCAGGGCCACCGGAGUUAUUUGCUGCCCUCGGGAGGCUCAGUCACACUCUCCGAGAGCACAGCCAUCAUCUCCCAUGGUACCACAGGCCUGGUCACAUGGGAUGCCACCCUCUACCUUGCAGAAUGGGCCAUCGAGAACCCAGCAGCCUUCACUAACAGGACUGUCCUAGAGCUUGGCAGUGGUGCCGGCCUCACAGGCCUGGCCAUCUGCAAGAUGUACCGCCCCCGGGCAUUCAUCUUCAGUGACUGUCACAGCCGGGUCCUCGAGCAGCUCCGAGGGAAUGUCCUUCUCAAUGGCCUCUCAUUAGAGGCAGACAUCACUGCCAACUUAGACAGCCCCAGGGUGACAGUGGCCCAGCUGGACUGGGACGUAGCGACGGUCCAUCAGCUCUCUGCCUUCCAGCCAGAUGUUGUCAUUGCAGCAGACGUGCUGUAUUGCCCAGAAGCCAUCGUGUCGCUGGUCGGGAUCCUGCGGAGGCUGGCUGCCUGCUGGGAGCACCAGCAGUCUCCUGAGGUCUACGUGGCCUUUACCGUCCACAACCCAGAGACGUGCCAGCUGUUCACCACCGAGCUAGGCCGGGCUGGGAUCAUAUGGGAAGCGGAAGCUCAUCAUGACCAGAAACUGUUUCCCUAUGGAGAGCACUUGGAGAUGGCAAUGCUGAACCUCACACUGUAGGACUCACACACGACUCCAACGGGAUUGUGAGAAUCAAGUCAAUCUCAUGGGAAGAAUUUUUAUAUGGGAAAGCGGAUAAAACUUUCAUUGUACUGGAAUGUUUGGAGAAUGUUAAAUUCCAAAUCAGAAACCACAAACUGCCCUCUAAUAAGACAUCGGCUAUCUAAGCGUGUGGGUGCCCCCUUUCUGCCAGCAGUUCUGGUUCUUACGAAAAUCACCAUAUAUCAGACAUGAAAAUUCUGGCUUUGUGCAGAUAAAAAAGUGUGUAUCAAGUAUGACGUUCCCCCAAUGUGGACACACUUGGUUCCUCAGAAAGCCAAGCCCACUGCAGCUGCCACAUCCCUGGACACACUCGGUUCCUCACAAAGCCAAGCCCGCUGCAGCUGUCACAUCCCUGGACACACUCGGUUCCUCACAAAGCCAAGCCCACUGCAGCUGCCACAUCCCUGAGCCUAUGGUGCAGCAGGUGCUUUUUUCAAGACAGGGAUCAAAGUGUUAGGAACACGGCAGAAAGGUGACACCUGGAGACCAAAUGCAGGAUGAGGAGUACUGCAGAGGUCACAGGGAAGUCAGAGAACAGUAAUACGCUAACAGGGGCACGGGGCAUGAAGAACAAAAGACAGGAAGCGUUUCAGAGACUCCAAAGAAGAAAUCAGGGCCAACCACAGCUUCCCGGGUCAUUCACCAGGUGGCACCACUGCCGUCAUUUCAGCUUCUGGCCACUGGGAGGCGCUGCUCGAAAGGGUUUGCCCUGACACUCCAAGAAGCUGCGGGAAGGACAGCAGGGGCCCUGGGGUUUUAGCCUCUGGCCCAGGAGUUAUGUGUCCAUAACCAAAGGGAGCACAGUCUGCACCCAGCUCUCAUCCCAUCAGAGCUGCUGCGACUCCUGCAGGUUCUUCCGGAACUGGUUUAGCUUGCCUGCAGGAUCAGGAAAGUUUGAGAAAAGCAUCUGCAAAAUACUAAAGAGCAGAGCUUACCUCAUUGCCUGUCCCCACCCCAUCCCAGGUCACCACCUGGCUGACCCCAGGUCCCCGACCCAACAACAACCCCUCCCAAGUCCCUAACUCCCUCACUUGGACUUGAGACCCUUCACACCCCAGCAGCGCUCCGCCUCCCACUUGACAUCAUGCUUUCUGGAAACUUCCCCGUAUGUCCCACUUUCCCACACUUGGUGCCCUGGAGCACCUUCCGGCCUCUACAUGCUGUACGUUCCCCUGUGAGCACCCUCCUCUCGGCCUCUGGCCAACACAGUCCCACCCAUCUGUGGGUAACAAGGGGGAGUGGGUGUUCUUUUCAGCCUUGCUAAACUCUCUGAAUCAAGGAUCACAAACUACAGCCUGCAGGCCAAAUCCAGCCCACAGCCUGUGUUUGUAAAUAAAGCUUUAUUGGAAGAAAGCCACACCCCUUAA